GCGCCGGUGGUGUAAGGCGGACAUCGCUGCCCGGAAAGCAGAAGAUGCGGGUUUGAGUCCCGCCCGGCGCA
rfam:Heligmosomoides polygyrus genome assembly, scaffold: HPBE_scaffold0000211